UGGGGAAUAUUGGACAAUGGGGGGAACCCUGAUCCAGCGACGCCGCGUGAGUGAAGAAGUAUUUCGGUAUGUAAAGCUCUAUCAGCAGGGAAGAAAAUGAAGGGUCCCUGACUAAAAAGCCCCGGCUAACUACGUGCCAGCAGCCGCGGUAAUACGUAGGGGGCAAGCGUUAUCCGGAUUUACUGGGUGUAAAGGGAGCGCAGACGGCUUGGCAAGUCUGAAGUGAAAGCCCGGGGCUUAACCCCGGGACUGCUUUGGAAACUGUGAAGCUAGAGUGUCGGAGAGGUAAGUGGAAUUCCCAGUGUAGCGGUGAAAUGCGUAGAAAUGGAAGCGUAGAUAUUGGGAGGAACACCGGUGGCGAAGGCGGCUUACUGGACGAUAACUGACGUUGAGGCUCGAAGGCGUGGGGAGCAAACAGGAUUAGAUACCCUGGUAGUCCACGCGGUAAACGAUGAAUACUAGGUGUCGGGGGACAUAGUCUUUCGGUGCCGCCGCUAACGCAUUAAGUAUUCCACCUGGGGAGUACGUUCGCAAGAAUG
rnacentral:rRNA from 1 species